AUUGAACGCUGGCGGCAAGCCUAACACAUGCAAGUCGAACGAGUGGCGGACGGGUGAGAAAUGUCUGGGAAACGGCCUGAUGGAGGGGGAUAACUACUGGAAACGGUAGCUAAUACCGCAUACCAUCGGAUGUGCCCAGAUGGGAUUAGCUAGUAGGUGGGGUAAAGGCUCACCUAGGGGACGAUCCCUAGCUGGUCUGAGAGGAUGACCAGCCACACUGGAACUGAUACACGGUCCAGACGCCUCCGGGAGUCAGCAGUGGGGAAUAUUGCACAAUGGGCGCAAGCCUGAUGUAGCCAUGCCGCGUGUAUGAAGAAGGCCUUCGGGUUGUAAAGUACUUUCAGCGGGGAGGCGUUACCCGCAGAAGAAGCACCGGCUAACUCCGUGCCAGCAGCCGCGGUAAUUC
rnacentral:rRNA from 1 species